rnacentral:rRNA from 1 species
UACGUAGGGCGCGAGCGUUGUCCGGAAUUAUUGGGCGUAAAGAGCUCGUAGGUGGUUUGCUGCGUCUGCUGUGAAAUCCUGGGGCUUAACCCUGGGCUUGCAGUGGAUACGGGCAGACUUGAGGUAGGUAGGGGAGAAUGGAAUUCCCGGUGUAGCGGUGAAAUGCGCAGAUAUCGGGAGGAACACCGGUGGCGAAGGCGGUUCUCUGGGCCUUACCUGACACUGAGGAGCGAAAGCGUGGGGAGCGAACAGG